GAUUUCAAAUGGAAAAGCCAUAAACAGCAAAGUUGUACAACUUAUCAAGAUCUACAACUUUUAUGUUGGUCACUUCUUUAUCCGACAAAGUGAUAGUACCAAUGUUUACAAAAUUGACAUAUGUGUGUUGUGUUGAUGUUUAUAAACCAGAUGAGAGAAAUGUGAUUUUUUGAAUAAUAUAACUAUCACUUUGUUGGAUGAAGAAGCGACCAAAAUAAAAGUUGUAGAUCUUGAUAAGUUGUACAACUUUGUUGUUUAUGGCUUUUCCAUUUGAAAUC
rnacentral:pre_miRNA from 1 species